AUAGUACUCCCUCCGUUCCAAAUUACUCGUCACAGAAAUGGAUGUAUCUAGAACUAAAAUACAUUUAGAUACAUCCAUACCUGCGACAAGUAAUUCGGAACGGAGGGAGUAGUAU
rnacentral:pre_miRNA from 1 species